UGGGGAAUAUUGGACAAUGGGCGCAAGCCUGAUCCAGCCAUGCCGCGUGAGUGAUGAAGGCCCUAGGGUUGCAAAGCUCUUUCACCGGUGAAGAUAAUGACGGUAACCGGAGCAGAAGCCCCGGCUAACUUCGUGCCAGCAGCCGCGGUAAUACGAAGGGGGCUAGCGUUGUUCGGAUUUACUGGGCGUAAAGCGCACGUAGGCGGACUUUUAAGUCAGGGGUGAAAUCCCGGGGCUCAACCCCGGAACUGCCUUUGAUACUGGAAGUCUUGAGUAUGGUAGAGGUUAGUGGAAUUCCGAGUGUAGAUGUGAAAUUCGUAGAUAUUCGGAGGAACACCAGUGGCGAAGGCUUCGCACUGGAACAUUACUGACGCUGAGGUGCGAAAGCGUGGGGAGCAAACAGG
rnacentral:rRNA from 1 species